UCCGUAGCAGAUAUUUAUCGU
ensembl:piRNA 21ur-1317 ncRNA